rnacentral:rRNA from 1 species
GACGUGAGGGCGCGAGCGUUGUCCGGAUUUAUUGGGCGUAAAGAGCUCGUAGGCGGCUUGUCGCGUCGGAAUGUGAAAACCCACAGCUCAACUGUGGGCUUGCAUUCGAUACGGGCAGGCUCGAGUUCGGUAGGGGAGACGUGGAAUUCCUGGUGUAGCGGUGAAAUGCGGUAGAGAUCAUGAGGAAGACCAGUGGCGAAGGCGGGUCUCUGGACAGUUCCUGACAGCUGAGGGCACGAAGGCCAGGGGAGCAAACGGG